CUGCUGCCUUCCGUAGGAGUUUGGGCCGUGUCUCAGUCCCAAUGUGGCCGUCCACCCUCUCAGGCCGGCUACUGAUCGCUGCCUUGGUGGGCCGUUACCCCGCCAACUAGCUAAUCAGACGCGGAUCCAUCGUACACCACCGGAGUUUUUCACACUGCCCCAUGCGGAGCCGUGCGCUUAUGCGGUAUUAGCACCUAUUUCUAAGUGUUAUCCCCCGGUAUACGGCAGGUUAUCCACGCGUUACUCACCCGUCCGCCA
rnacentral:rRNA from 1 species